UGACACAGGGAGGUAGUGACAAGAAAUAACAAUACGGGGCUUAAAGUCUUGUAAUUGGAAUGAUGGGAAUUUAAACCUCUUCCAGAGUAUCAAUUGGAGGGCAAGUCUGGUGCCAGCAGCCGCGGUAAUUCCAGCUCCAAUAGCGUAUAUUAAAAUUGUUGCAGUUAAAAAGCUCGUAGUUGAAUUUCUGCUGCAUUGCUUGUGUCCCUCUGGGGUCUGUGCAUGUGGCUUUUUUCGGACGGAGUUUCUUUGUCUGAAUGUUUACUUUGAGAAAAUUAGAGUGCUCAAAGCAGGCUUUCGCCUUGAAUAGUUUAGCAUGGAAUAAUAAAGUAGGACUUUGGUUCUAUUUUGUUGGUUUUAGGUACCAAAGUAAUGGUUAAUAGGAACAGUUGGGGGCAUUCGUAUUUAACUGUCAGAGGUGAAAUUCUUA
rnacentral:rRNA from 1 species